GAUGAACGCUGGCGGCGUGCCUAAUACAUGCAAGUCGAGCGAACGGACGAGAAGCUUGCUUCUCUGAUGAUAGCGGCGGACGGGUGAGUAACACGUGGAUAACCUACCUAUAAGACUGGGAUAACUUCGGGAAACCGGAGCUAAUACCGGAUGAUAUUUUGAACCGCAUGGUUCAAAAGUGAAAGACGGUCUUGCUGUCACUUAUAGAUGGAUCCGCGCUGCAUUAGCCAGUUGGUAAGGUAACGGCUUACCAAGGCAACGAUGCAUAGCCGACCUGAGAGGGUGAUCGGCCACACUGGAACUGAGACACGGUCCAGACUCCUACGGGAGGCAGCAGUAGGGAAUCUUCCGCAAUGGGCGAAAGCCUGACGGAGCAACGCCGCGUGAGUGAUGAAGGUCUUCGGAUCGUAAAACUCUGUUAUUAGGGAAGAACAUAUGUGUAAGUAACUGUGCACAUCUUGACGGUACCUAAUCAGAAAGCCACGGCUAACUACGUG
rnacentral:rRNA from 1 species